rnacentral:rRNA from 1 species
UACGUAGGGGGCAAGCGUUGUCCGGAUUUAUUGGGCGUAAAGAGCGUGUAGGCGGCUAGGUAGGUCCGUUGUGAAAACUCGAGGCUCAACCUCGAGACGUCGAUGGAAACCAUCUAGCUAGAGUCCGGAAGAGGAGAGUGGAAUUCCUGGUGUAGCGGUGAAAUGCGCAGAUAUCAGGAAGAACACCCGUGGCGAAGGCGGGCUCUCUGGUACGUGACUGACGCUGAGACGCGAAAGCGUGGGGAGCGAACAGGGAUAGAUACCCGGGGUAGCC